rnacentral:tRNA from 1 species
GGGUGUGUGGCUCAGUGGUAGAGCAUUAGCUUGGCACGCAGAAGGUCCUAGGUUCAAUCCCGGGCAUCUCCA